rfam:Oryza glaberrima chromosome 4 Oglab04_0204_30, whole genome shotgun sequence.
AAAAAGACAAACCCUGAGUUUUUGUAUCCAACAUUUAACUAUCCGUCUUAUAUGAAAUUUUUUAUAAUUAGCAUUUUUAUUGUUGUUAGAUGAUAAAACAUGAUUAAUACUUUAUACGUUACUUAUCUUUUUAAUUUUUUUAUAAUUUUUUUAAAUAAGACGGACGAUCCAAAUCCAAUAUUAGAUAUGGAAACCUAGGUUUGUUGUUGUU